rfam:Myotis davidii contig94521, whole genome shotgun sequence.
CCGACGGCUCUGAACUCCAGUUCCGGGUGAGUCUCUGGGGACCCAGACUCAUACGGGGAGAAACUGGACUGUCUGGCAUCAGGCGGA